AGAGUUUGAUCCUGGCUCAGAACGAACGCUGGCGGCAGGCUAACACAUGCAAGUCGAGCGCACUUCGGGUGAGCGGCGGACGGGUUAGUAACGCGUGGGAACAUACCCUUUCUCUAAGGAAUAGUCCCGGGAAACUGGGGGUAAUACUUAUAAGCCCUUUCGGGGGAAAGAUUUAUCGGUGAAGGAUUGGCCCGCGUAAGAUUAGAUAGUUGGUGGGGUAAUGGCCUACCAAGUCUACGAUCUUUAGCUGGUUUGAGAGGAUGAUCAGCAACACUGGGACUGAGACACGGCCCAGACUCCUACGGGAGGCAGCAGUGGGGAAUCUUAGACAAUGGGCGCAAGCCUGAUCUAGCCAUGCCGCGUGAGUGACGAAGGCCUUAGGGUCGUAAAGCUCUUUCGCCAGAGAUGAUAAUGACAGUAUCUGGUAAAGAAACCCCGGCUAACUCCGUGCCAGCAGCCGCGGUAAUACGGAGGGGGUUAGUGUUGUUCGGAAUUACUGGGCGUAAAGCGUACGUAGGCGGAUUAGUCAGUCAGAGGUGAAAUCCCAGGGCUCAACCCUGGAACUGCCUUUGAUACUGCUAGUCUUGAGUUCGAGAGAGGUGAGUGGAAUUCCAAGUGUAGAGGUGAAAUUCGUAGAUAUUUGGAGGAACACCAGUGGCGAAGGCGGCUCACUGGCUCGAUACUGACGCUGAGGUACGAAAGUGUGGGGAGCAAACAGGAUUAGAUACCCUGGUAGUCCACACCGUAAACGAUGAAUGCCAGACGUCGGGGGGCUUGCCCUUCGGUGUCACACCUAACGGAUUAAGCAUUCCGCCUGGGGAGUACGGUCGCAAGAUUAAAACUCAAAGGAAUUGACGG
rnacentral:rRNA from 1 species